GGAGAUGAUUAAUAAGUUUCCUUCUUUGUAAUUGAUUUCAGUUCCUAAACUUGUCUAGGUCACACCCCGCAAGUGUUACUCCUGGGCCAUUAGCUCAGGUGGUUAGAGCGCACCCCUGAUAAGGGUGAGGUCCCUGGUUCAAGUCCAGGAUGGCCCAUUCGGUGUUGGGGGUUUAGCUCAGUUGGUAGAGCGCCUGCUUUGCAAGCAGGAUGUCAGCGGUUCGAGUCCGCUAACCUCCACUGGCCAACCUCCUGCAGCGUGCCAAUUUGAGAACUGUUGCGAGGAUGUGAUUUGGAUUUUCAGCUGAAGGAACCUAGCUUCCUAUCAUUCCAUCUCUAAACACUGAGAAGGCUGACAGGAUGCUGGGCUCAUUGUAUUUCUUUCGAAUUACACUAAGUUCAGCAGAACCUUGACAACUGCAUAGGUGAGUCUGGAAAAGAAUAAAGCAUCUCAUGGAUGCAUUAUUCUAUCGAUAAAGAUUUUGAAUUCUAAGAAAUUAGAACAAUGUUUUUCUUUAGAAUAAUGUUUGAUUCUUGAGCAAGAGUCGAGACUCUAUAGUUUACUUUUAACACUAUUAGUGUGUUAAAAAAUCGUGUAAAACACGAAACUAAAUUAUAGAGAAAAAUGGUCAAGCUACAA
rnacentral:tRNA from 1 species